rnacentral:rRNA from 1 species
ACUCCUACGGGAGGCAGCAGUGGGGAAUCUUGCGCAAUGGGCGAAAGCCUGACGCAGCAACGCCGCGUGCGGGAUGACGGCCUUCGUGGUUGUAAACCGCUUUCAGCAGGGACGAAAAUGACGGUACCUGCAGAAGAAGUCCCGGCUAACUACGUGCCAGCAGCCGCGGUAAUACGUAGGGACAAGCGUUGUCCGGAUUCAUUGGGCGUAAAGAGCUCGUAGGCGGUCUAGUAAGUUGGGUGUGAAAGCUCCGGGCUCAACCC